GAUACAUAGUAUAACGUGAUCCAGAAACCAUGAUCCUUUUCCAGAUGUGGCCAGAAUCAGACCCAGGUUUGGGGACUGAAAAGUAAUAACCGUAUGCUCUGAUUUGAAGUAGUGACCUGACAAUGGCUUCAAACAAACUGAGACCUCUGGAUUCUUGACCAGAUCCCUGGUCGGGCCACAUGGAGUCUCAACUUAGAUGGGGCCUCACCAUCCGGGAGACAAGCCUUUUUCAUCCCAACCAGGGGUCUCCAAAGGGAGCUGUGCCUCCAGCCAGGAACCAGAAAACAACAGAGAAGGAUCCAAUGCAUAAAUCACAUGAUAAAUUCAUGCCAAGUGAUGAG